rnacentral:rRNA from 1 species
CAGCAGCCGCGGUAAUACAGAGGGUGCGAGCGUUAAUCGGAUUUACUGGGCGUAAAGCGUGCGUAGGCGGCUUCUUAAGUCGGAUGUGAAAUCCCUGAGCUUAACUUAGGAAUUGCAUUCGAUACUGGGAAGCUAGAGUAUGGGAGAGGAUGGUAGAAUUCCAGGUGUAGCGGUGAAAUGCGUAGAGAUCUGGAGGAAUACCGAUGGCGAAGGCAGCCAUCUGGCCUAAUACUGACGCUGAGGUACGAAAGCAUGGGGAGCAAACAGGAUUAGAUACCCCAGUAGUUGUCUCUUAUACACA